rnacentral:rRNA from 1 species
GAUGAACGCUGGCGGCGUGCCUAAUACAUGCAAGUCGAGCGAACAGACGAGGAGCUUGCUCCUCUGACGUUAGCGGCGGACGGGUGAGUAACACGUGGAUAACCUACCUAUCAGACUGGGAUCACUUCGGGAAACCGGAGCUAAUACCGGAUAAUAUAUUGAACCGCAUGGUUCAAUAGUGAAAGACGGUUUUGCUGUCACUUAUCGAUGGAUCCGCGCCGCAUUAGCUAGUUGGUAAGGUAACGGCUUACCAAGGCGACGAUGCGUAGCCGACCUGAGAGGGGGAUAGGCCACACUGGAACGGAGACAGGGUCCAGACUCCUAAGGGAGGCAGCAGUAGGGAAUCUUCCGCAAUGGGCGAAAGCCUGACGGAGCAACGCCGCGUGAGUGAUGAAGGUCUUCGGAGCGUAAAACUCUGUUAUUAGGGAAGAACAAAUGUGUAAGUAACUAUGCACGUCUUGACGGUACCUAAUCAGAAAGCCACGGCUAACUACGUG